CCAACUGGGAUUGCCUUAGUAACGGCGAGUGAAGCGGCAAUAGCUCAAAUUUGAAAGCUGGCGUCUUUGGCGUCCGCGUUGUAAUUUGUAGAGGAUGCUUCGGCGAGGGCUCCGGUCUAAGUUCCCUGGAACGGGACGUCAUAGAGGGUGAGAAUCCCGUAUGUGAUCGGUUGCCUAAGCCAUGUGAAGCUCCUUCGACGAGUCGAGUUGUUUGGGAAUGCAGCUCUAAAUGGGAGGUAAAUUUCUUCUAAAGCUAAAUACCGGCCAGAGACCGAUAGCGCACAAGUAGAGUGAUCGAAAGAUGAAAAGCACUUUGGAAAGAGAGUUAAAAAGUACGUGAAAUUGUUGAAAGGGAAGCGCUUGCAACCAGACUCGUCCGCAGUUGCUCAGCCGGUCUCUUGACCGGCGUACUCUUCUGCGGCCGGGCCAGCAUCAGUUCGGGCGGCCGGAUAAAGGCCUCGGGAAUGUAGCACCCUUCGGGGUGUGUUAUAGCCCGGGGUGGAAUGCGGCCAGCCUGGACUGAGGAUCUCGCUUCGGCUAGGAUGCUGGCGUAAUGGUUGUAAGCGGCCCGUCUUGAAACACGGACC
rnacentral:rRNA from 1 species